rnacentral:rRNA from 1 species
AUACGUAGGGGGCGAGCGUUGUCCGGAAUUACUGGGCGUAAAGGGCGCGUAGGCGGCCAAAUAAGUCAGAUGUGAAACCCCUCGGCUCAACUUAGGGCUUGCAUUUGAAACUGAUUGGCUUGAGUGUCGGAGAGGGAAGCGGAAUUCCUAGUGUAGCGGUGAAAUGCGUAGAUAUGACGAAGAACACCGAUUGCGUAGGCAGCUGACCAGACCGCAAAUGACGCUCAUGCACGAAAGUGCGGGGAUCGAACAGGAUUAGAUACCCUGGUAGUCCGCACAGUAAACGAUGAAUACUUGUUUUCGGCGAUAUAAUGUCGGAGGCAAAGCGAAAGCGAUAAGUAUUCCACCUGGGGAGUACGCCGGCAACGGUGAAACUCAAAUGAAUUGACGGGG